GAUGAACGCUAGCUACAGGCUUAACACAUGCAAGUCGAGGGGUAACGAGAGGGAAGCUUGCUUUCCUUGUCGACGACCGGCGCACGGGUGAGUAACGCGUAUCCAACCUGCCCCCAACUAAGGAAUAACCUUGCGAAAGUAAGACUAAUACCCUAUAAUUUCCUCAGAUGACAUCUGACGAGGAAUAAAGAUUUAUCGGUUGUGGAUGGGGACGCGUCUGAUUAGCUUGUUGGCGGGGUAACGGCCCACCAAGGCAACGAUCAGUAGGGGUUCUGAGAGGAAGGUCCCGCACAUUGGAACUGAGACACGGUCCAAACUCCUACGGGAGGCAGCAGUGAGGAAUAUUGGUCAAUGGGCGGAAGCCUGAACCAGCCAAGUAGCGUGCAGGAUGACGGCCCUAUGGGUUGUAAACUGCUUUUAUGCAGGAAUAAAGUUAGCCACGUGUGGUUAUUUGUAGGUACUGUAUGAAUAAGGACCGGCUAAUUCCGUGCCAGCCGCCGCAGUAA
rnacentral:rRNA from 1 species